GAUGAACGCUGGCGGCGUGCUUAACACAUGCAAGUCGAACGGUGAAGCAGAGCUUGCUCUGUGGAUCAGUGGCGAACGGGUGAGUAACACGUGAGCAACCUGCCCCUGACUCUGGGAUAAGCGCUGGAAACGGCGUCUAAUACUGGAUAUGAGCCGCGACCGCAUGGUCAGCAGUUGGAAAGAUUUUUCGGUCUGGGAUAGGCUCACGGCCUAUCAGCUUGUUGGUGAGGUAAUGGCUCACCAAGGCGUCGACGGGUAGCCGGCCUGAGAGGGUGACCGGCCACACUGGGACUGAGACACGGCCCAGACUCCUACGGGAGGCAGCAGUGGGGAAUAUUGCACAAUGGGCGAAAGCCUGAUGCAGCAACGCCGCGUGAGGGAUGACGGCCUUCGGGUUGUAAACCUCUUUUAGCAGGGAAGAAGCGAAAGUGACGGUACCUGCAGAAAAAGCGCCGGCUAACUACGUG
rnacentral:rRNA from 1 species